UUCCUUGGCAGAGAUUUGGAGGAUCUAAUCAGGAGCCUUCUCAGACGCUUCAUAAAGCGAGACGUCCAGGUUGAUGUUUCCCCAGUAAAGCUGGUCAAGCUUGAUGUGACAGACCAAAAGCUUUGGGUCAGUCCAAAGCAAGUGGACAUUGGCAUGGGAGCCACAGCUGCCCUCAAGGUGGGAAUGUCAGGCAGUCAGAGUGGUGGAAGUGAGCGUGAGUUGUUGCUGUUCAUGCGAGACAGCCAGAGUGCCCUGUCAAAAAUUUGUCAGAACAUUUUAUUGAAGUGUCCCCUGAAGUACCCCUCUGUCCGAAAUAUGAUGUGCCUGGACCCCCAAAAGAUGCACAAAGAACCUGACAUGUGCCUGCAAAAAAUGAAGGACCUCAUCAUGAAAUUUGUUCAGGAUA